CGCUCCUCUGAAAUAUUCCGCUUCCGUGAACAAAUAAAUGUUGUUGGUUUUGGAUUAUUUUAUUAAAUCUGGACAGAAGUUCUCACGCGUGCCAGUUAAUUUAUUUUACUUACUUACAAUAUUAACUGCGGUGAUUAUUCUGCCUCCCCGGGAAAAAAUGAUCAGAUCUGAUCAGAAAUGAACAGGCAUCAGUCUUCAGGCCUGACCAGACAUGAAAAAUGACCAUGCCUGAUCAGGCAUG